rnacentral:lncRNA from 1 species
UUUUUCCAUCCAGCUGAACUCAGCAGGGAACCUGCCUGACGCUGCAGCAGGGGCUUGUGCACGAGCUCGGCGCUUGCCCCCUGUGAGGCACGGCGCUGGGCUCGCUAGCUGAGGGGCUGCUGCUGUAUUAUACAGGUGAGUGCAUGGCCUCUUCGGCUUUUUUGGUGGCCUUCUCGAUUUUUUCAGGAGGCUGCCACCACCACACGUGUGCCUGAGGAGAGUGUGAGCCCAACUAUCUGAGCUGUGCCAAUGUGCCCAGAGGUGCUCGUGAGGCUGUGUGAAGAUGCCCAUCAUUUACUGGGAGGCGAGCGCAUCCAGCCCAGCGUGCUCGCUGGCUCCGAAGUUAAACCCUGCAAUUUGGAUCAACUUCAGCUUUUUUCCUCACUCUAAACCCUCUCUCCUGCAUUGUUCCCCUUACGUCCCUCCACACGGCCCUGUCCUGGUGGCAGUGGGAGCUGUGGGUCGCUGCCCACGGCCGGGCCAGCGAUGCGGAGCGGUGCGGGUUAGCGAGCAUCCGAGGCUGAGGGCUCGUCCCUGAAUGCACAUUGUUCUCGAAGCUCCCAGGACCAGAGGGGAGAAUAGUUGAACUGUUUACAAUAUUGUUUCAUAGGCUGCUAAAAAGCGGCCGUCUGUUUUUCAGAAGCGCAGCGAAACGUUUAUGAGCGUGGGACCUGCUCCAGCUCUCUGCCGCGGAGCUCUCGCGCCGGGGCCAUCCCGCGCCACGCGCCAGCCGGUGUGCGCUGCUCACAAAGGGGUUGCAGGACACACACACCUCCUCCCUUUUCCCAGAUGACGAUCUUCCAGGUGCCCUGAUUUACAGAGCAACCAGGCUGGACCAGCCCCAUCCUGCUGUGUUCGUUGAGCCGUGGUGAGGCCGCAGCCGGGGAGCGCCGAGGACAUCGGGCACGGCGUCCUGUGGGUCUGCUCACCGCAUCUGCCUUGCAGCGACUGCUUCUGGGGAGCCCCAGCCCCUUCCUCUAUUUCUGCACUGUGUGUGUGCCCCUGUGCUGCUGCAGAGCUACCAACAGCUGCUCCUGCCCUUACCUCUGAUAAUUCACGUUCGUCGUCUUAAGUUUGUGCGUUUAAUUGAAAGCAAAUUAAUAGCACAGCAGCUUUUUUCUCUCAUGCAAGAGGAGAGGUCGUAUAUCUGCCUCCGUGCUUUUACGGCUUCGUGUUGGUUAUUUCCAGCGCUGCCGGCUGCUCCUCAUGUGGGAGUUAGAGCAGGUCCUUCCAAAAAGUGACCUGUUUUUUUCCCAUGAAGAGACUUUGACGCAGGAUCACUCCAAAGCUCAUUAAGGUCGUUAAAAAUAUUUAUUUUAGGCAGAUGGAUGCUCUAACCAGAAUUGUAACCCAGUUGUAGCUAAAUGCAGGAAUAAAUCAGAAUUUGAGUUUUACUGUGAUGGCCA